AACAAACGCUGGCGGCGUGCCUAAUACAUGCAAGUCGAACGGGGAAAGCUUUCGGGUGAGUACUAGUGGCGCACGGGUGAGGAACGCGUGGAUAAUCUGCCUUAGAGUGGGGGAUAACUAGUCGAAAGAUUAGCUAAUACCGCAUAAGACCACAGGAGCUGCGGCUCUAGGGGUCAAAGGUUUUUCGCUCUAAGAUGAGUCCGCGUAAGAUUAGCUAGUUGGUGAGGUAACGGCUCACCAAGGCGACGAUCUUUAACUGGUCUGAGAGGAUGAUCAGUCACACUGGAACUGAGACACGGUCCAGACUCCUACGGGAGGCAGCAGUAGGGAAUAUUGCACAAUGGAGGAAACUCUGAUGCAGCGACGCCGCGUGAGUGAUGAAGGCCUUCGGGUCGUAAAGCUCUGUCGCAGGGGAAUAACACAAUGAAUGUACCCUGUAAGAAAGGAUCGGCUAACUUCGUGCCAGCAGCCGCAGUAAUAC
rnacentral:rRNA from 1 species